GGCAGCUCAGUCGGUAGAGCAUGAGACUCUUAAUCUCAGGGUCGUGGGUUUAAGCCCCACAUUGGCCA